rnacentral:rRNA from 1 species
AACGCGAAGAACCUUACCAAGGCUUGACAUGGGGUGAAAACUCGUAGAGAUACGGGGUCCGCAAGGGCGCCUCACAGGUGGUGCAUGGUUGUCGUCAGCUCGUGUCGUGAGAUGUUGGGUUAAGUCCCGCAACGAGCGCAACCCUCGUCUUAUGUUGCCAGCACGUUAUGGUGGGGACUCAUAAGAGACUGCCGGGGUCAACUCGGAGGAAGGUGGGGAUGACGUCAAGUCAUCAUGCCCCUUAUGUCCAGGGCUUCACGCAUGCUACAAUGGCCGGUACAAAGGGCUGCGAUACCGCAAGGUGGAGCGAAUCCCAAAAAGCCGGUCUCAGUUCGGAUUGGGGUCUGCAACUCGACCCCAUGAAGUCGGAGUCGCUAGUAAUCGCAGAUCAGCAACGCUGCGGUGAAUACGUUCCCGGGCCUUGUACACACCG